AUUGAACGCUGGCGGCAGGCCUAACACAUGCAAGUCGAGCGAGCGGCGGACGGGUGAGUACUGUCUGGGAAACUGCCUGAUGGAGGGGGAUAACUACUGGAAACGGUAGCUACUACCGCAUACCAUCAGAUGUGCCCAGAUGGGAUUAGCUAGUAGUUGGGGUAAAGGCUCACCUAGGCGACGAUCCCUAGCUGGUCUGAGAGGAUGACCAGCCACACUGGAACUGAGACACGGUCCAGACUACUACGGGAGGAAGCAGUGGGGAAUAUUGCACAAUGGGCGCAAGCCUGAUGCAGCCAUGCGGCGUGUAUGAAGAAGGCCUUCGGGUUGGAAAGCACUUUCAGCGAGGAGGCGUUACUCGCAGAAGAAGCACCGGCUAACUCCGUGCCAGCAGCCGCGGUAAUAC
rnacentral:rRNA from 1 species